rnacentral:lncRNA from 1 species
UAUUGACCAUAAAAUUAGCUAUGAGUAAGUUUUGAUUAAUUAGUUAUGAUCAAUUAACUACAAAGUUUUGGUAGCUAGCUAAAAGAUCAAUUAAUUUGAAACAAGAGAAAUUAAGCAGAAGAAUGGUGACACACAUAAUAUGCAACAAGAAUAAAGAGAAGGGAGAUGAGUAGAAAAUAAGAACCCGAUUCCUUUUGAUCCACCAGUGACUAGAGCUGUCAUACCCUUCAAAGACCACUUACUGCUCCUGCUACUUGUGUUUCCCUCACCCAUUUUCUCCUUAAUUCUUGCUGCAAUUAACAAUUAAUUAACCUUUAUAAAUAGCCAAUACAUCUUCUGCACCCAAGGGAGGGAUAUGUGGGGAGUAAGUUUAGAGUUGAAAUGUUGACCACAUUACAUGUAAAAAUGUGUGGAAGAAAGUUCAUUUGGUCUAAAUUUUACUCCAAAUACAUUAAAACAAAUUAUGUUAAACAGAGUGUUCUGGGAUUCUAGUUAAACACACUAAUAAAAAGAAAUAAAUGACAAAAUUAAUGAUAAGAGAUGAUAGUUUUUUUAUAUCUUUAAAGCAUUGAAUACACAAUUUACAUAUUUAUAUCCUUAGUGUCUUCGGGCACUGCUUAACAUUUUUCUUAUUUUUUACCAAAAUUAUUGAUUUAUUUUUUCUCACACAAAAUUAUUGAUUAUUUAACACAACUGCGUGUGCAUCUUUUGUAGAAACACUCAUUACAUCAUCAAAUCAAAUACCCUAUAAAUUUGAAAAAUGUUUUUUUUUUUUGACAAAAAUAAAAUUCAAAUUAUGUUGACCACAUAACAUGUAAAAAUGAGUGGAAGAAAGUUCAUCUAUUUCGUCUAAAU